rnacentral:lncRNA from 1 species
GUGGAUAUAAAUAAGGUCAAAAUCCAAAGAUUUCUUUUUAGAACUCAUACUCUCACUUGAAGUUGAGAAAAUAAAGAUGGUAACAAAGAAGAGAUAUGAUUCAUUCAUCUAAAGAUGAAAGAAAAUUAUUGUGAGCACAAUGUCUUGUAGUAUCAAGAUUAUUGGAAGCUCUAGAGGAGCAGAUACAUGCUUGCCUAUGAGAAUGCAACUUAAAAUCAUUAAUGUGUAUACUUUCCCAAGUCUCGAAGGUCAAAAUGAUCUACGAUAUAACACAUGACAUUAGGUUUGAUAUGUCGUUGAUUCUAAAGUGGGAUUCAAUUCA